GAGUUUGAUCGUGGCUCAGGACGAACGCUGGCGGCGUGCUUAACACAUGCAAGUCGAACGAGAAUCUACUGAAAGAGUUUUCGGACAAUGGAAGUAGAGGAAAGUGGCGGACGGGUGAGUAACGCGUGAGGAACCUGCCUUGAAGAGGGGACAACAGUUGGAAACGACUGCUAAUACCGCAUGAUGCAUAAGGGUCGCAUGAUUCUUAUGCCAAAGAUUUAUCGCUUCAAGAUGGCCUCGCGUCUGAUUAGCUAGUUGGCGGGGUAACGGCCCACCAAGGCGACGAUCAGUAGCCGGACUGAGAGGUUGAACGGCCACAUUGGGACUGAGAUACGGCCCAGACUCCUACGGGAGGCAGCAGUGGGGAAUAUUGGGCAAUGGGCGCAAGCCUGACCCAGCAACGCCGCGUGAAGGAGAAGGCUUUCGGUAUGUAAACUUCUAUCAGCAGGGAAGAAAAGUGACGGUACCUGACUAAGAAG
rnacentral:rRNA from 1 species